rnacentral:rRNA from 1 species
CCGGCCAACAGCCAAACCCCGGGCCUUCCCAUUUUUGAGUUGAUCCUGGCUCUAGAUUGAACGCUGGCGGCAUGCCUUACACAUGCAAGUCGAACGGCAGCACGGGGGCAACCCUGGUGGCGAGUGGCGAACGGGUGAGUAAUACAUCGGAACGUGUCCUGGAGUGGGGGAUAGCCCGGCGAAAGCCGGAUUAAUACCGCAUACGCUCUGAAGGAGGAAAGGGGGGGAUCGCAAGACCUCUCGCUCAAGGGGCGGCCGAUGGCAGAUUAGGUAGUUGGUGGGGUAAAGGCCUACCAAGCCGACGAUCUGUAGCUGGUCUGAGAGGACGACCAGCCACACUGGGACUGAGACACGGCCCAGACUCCUACGGGAGGCAGCAGUGGGCGAAUUCUGGACAAUGGGCGCAAGCCUGAUCCAGCAAUGCCGCGUGUGUGAAGAAGGCCUUCGGGUUGUAAAGCACUUUUGUCCGGAAAGAAAACUUCUGUCCUAAUACGGCGGGGGGAUGACGGUACCGGAAGAAUAGCACCG